AGCGAACGCUGGCGGCAGGCUUAACACAUGCAAGUCGAGCGGGCAUCUUCGGGUGUCAGCGGCGGACGGGUGAGUAACGCGUGGGAACGUGCCUUCUGGUUCGGAAUAACUCAGGGAAACUUGAGCUAAUACCGGAUACGCCCUUUUGGGGAAAGGUUUACUGCCGGAAGAUCGGCCCGCGUCUGAUUAGCUAGUUGGUGGGGUAACGGCCUACCAAGGCGACGAUCAGUAGCUGGGCUGAGAGGAUGAUCAGCCACACUGGGACUGCGACACGGCCCGGACUCCUACGGGAGGCAGCAGUGGGGAAGAUUGGACAAUGGGGGCAACCCUGAUCCAGCCAUGCCGCGUGAGUGAUGAAGGCCUUAGGGUUGUAAAGCUCUUUUAUCCGGGACGAUAAUGACGGUACCGGAGGAAUAAGCCCCGGCUAACUUCGUGCCAGCCGCCGCCGUAA
rnacentral:rRNA from 1 species